AUGGUGGCAGAAAAAUGCAUAGAUCUUAAGCGUCUACUAUAAGGUUUACCUUCUAU
rnacentral:tRNA from 1 species